GAUGAAGAACGUAGCGAAAUGCGAUAAGUAAUGUGAAUUGCAGAACUCAGUGAAUCAUCGAAUCUUUGAACGCACAUUGCGCCCGCCAGCAUUCUGGCGGGCAUGCCUGUUCGAGCGUCAUUUCAACCCUCGUGCCCCCCCGGGGGCCUCGGUGUUGGGGGACGGCACACCAGCCGCCCCCGAAAUGCAGUGGCGACCUCGCCGCAGCCUCCCCUGCGUAGUAGCACACACCUCGCACCGGAGCGCGGAGACGGUCACGCCGUAAAACGCCCAACUUCUUAGAGUUGACCUCGGAUCAGGUAGGAAUACCCGCUGAACUUAAGCAUAUCAAUAAGCGGAGGA
rnacentral:misc_RNA from 1 species